rnacentral:rRNA from 1 species
GAUGAACGCUGGCGGCAGGCCUAACACAUGCAAGUCGAGCGGCAGCACGGGGAGCGCUUGCCUUUGCCGUUGGCGACCGGCGGGCGGGUAAGAAAUGCAUAACCAACCUCUAAUUCUGGGAUGACUACGGGGGACAAGAUCGGAUAACGGCUAAUAUAUUGAACCGGAUGGUUCAAUAGUUGAACGCAGUUUUGCUGUCAGUGAGAGAUGGAUCCGCGCCGCAUUAGUUAGUGGGUAAGGUAACGGCAUACCAAGGCGACGAUGCGUAGCUGACCUGAGAGGAGGAUCAGCCACACUGGAACUGAGACACGGUCCAGACUCCUACGGGAGGCAGCAGAGGGGAAUCUUAGACAAGGGGCGAAAGCCUGACCUAGCCACGCCGCGUGGGUGAUGAAGGUAUUCGGAUCGUAAAACUCUGUUGUUAGGGAAGAACAAAAGUGGGAGUAACUAGUGACGUUUUGACGGUACCUAAUGAAUAAGCACCGGCUAACUCCGUG